GACAUGUGAUGACAAACUUAUGCGUGUCAUUUGAUUCCAAAUAAUUUGAUGUUUAGGUCAGCAAGGUGAGAGUGUUUUACUGUCAUUUGGCUGUCUAAACAUCUUUCUUUUGGCUAAUGAUAACAUUUCUUACUGAUGUC
rnacentral:snoRNA from 1 species